rnacentral:rRNA from 1 species
UACGUAGGGUGCAAGCGUUGUCCGGAAUCAUUGGGCGUAAAGAGCGUGUAGGCGGCCUCGUAAGUCCGCUGUGAAAGUCCAGGGCUCAACCCUGGAAUGCCGGUGGAAACUGUCGAGCUAGAAUCCGGAAGAGGCGAGUGGAAUUCCUGGUGUAGCGGUGAAAUGCGCAGAUAUCAGGAGGAACACCAAUGGCGAAGGCAGCUCGCUGGGACGGUAUUGACGCUGAGACGCGAAAGCGUGGGGAGCAAACAGG